UGGUACACUGCGGGAAAGGGGUCAGGAGGCAGGGAGCAUCAUCACCACUUGCACCCCCAGGAGACUCCCCCACCGAGCAGUCAGUGCUAGAUCUGAUGCCACUUCACCAGAUUACCUUUGGCUCUUUUCAUUGACCCCUUAGCAUCAGAUAAGUCCAUUCCUUGAUGGACCUUGAGGUCCAUUAACCCUCAAGGUAGCAUCUUUCCGCUUCUGUUGCAGCCCUUCCUCCGCACAAUGCCUCCCCCUGGUUGCAAGCACUCUAGAAAAGCAGGCGCUGAGGCCCUCUUCAGUGCACCAACCUUAACAUGGAUCACACUGUGUCCUAGAGAGGGCUCAGACCUGGGUCCCAACUCCUGGCAUACAAAUGAGGCAAACACCUUCAGAACCAUCUCACUGUCCUGGGGCCUGAGAAAUACUAACUAGCAAAAUGGAUCCAUAUCCAUCUGGACUAAAUAAUGUCAAUAAAUAAUAGGCUGUAACUCUCUCCCCAGGGACGAAUUUUGAGCCAGAGGAAGAAAUUGUAGCGUUUCAGGCCUCUAAAGUCAGGUCAGAGGAAACCUUCCA